rnacentral:rRNA from 1 species
GACGAACGCUGGCGGCGUGCUUAACACAUGCAAGUCGAACGGGAUCCUAAGGCUUUUUGUCUUUGGUGAGAGUGGCGAACGGGUGAGUAACACGGGAGUAACCUGCCCCCUUCUUCUGGAUAACCGCAUGAAAGUGUGGCUAAUUCAGGAUAUUUCUGUCUGGUCGCAUGAUUGGUUUGGGAAAGGGGGUGGUCUGGUGGGUGAUGGGUUCGCGGCCUAUCCGUUUGUUGGUGGGGUGAUGGCCUACAAAGGCGGUGACGGGUGGCUGGCCGGGGGGGGGGGGCGGUGACACUGGGACUGGGAUACGGCCCAGAGUCGUGCGGGAGGCAGGAGUGGGGGAUGUUGCACGAUGGGCGCAAGCAGGAUGCAGCGGCGCCGCGUGAGGGAUGAAGGACUUCGGGUUGUAAACAUCUUUCGCUGGGUUGAAAGUCCGUGCUUUGGGUGUGGUUGAUUUUACCUAGUAAAGAAGUACCGGCUAACUACGUG